AGCAGCCGCGGUAAUUCCAGCUCCAAUAGCGUAUAUUAAAGUUGUUGCAGUUAAAAAGCUCGUAGUUGAAUUUCGGGGUCAGUAGAUUGGUCAUGCCACUGGUAUGUACUGGUCUCACUGAUUCCUCCUUCCUGAUGAGCCGUAAUGCCAUUAAUUUGGUGUUGCGAGGAAUCUGGACUGUUACUUUGAAAAAAUUAGAGUGUUUAAAGCAGGCUAACGCUUGAAUACAUUAGCAUGGAAUAAUGAAAUAGGACGUUCGAUCUUAUUUUGUUGGUUUCUAAGAUUGACGUAAUGAUUAAUAGGGAUAGUUGGGGGCAUUAGUAUUCAAUUGUCAGAGGUGAAAUUCUUGGAUUUAUUGAAGACUAACUACUGCGAAAGCAUUUGCCAAGGAUGUUUUCAUUAAUUCAAGAACGAAAGUUAGGGGAAUCGAAGACGAUCAGAUACCGUCGUAGUCUUAACCAUAAACUAUAGCCGACUAGGGAUCGGAUGAUAGUUUAAUUUUUUAAAUUGUACUAC
rnacentral:rRNA from 1 species